GCCCGGGUGGCUCAGUCGGUUAAGCUUCUGACUUCAGUUCAGGUCAUGAUCUCACGGCUUGUGAGUUUGAGCCCCACGUCGGGCU
rnacentral:tRNA from 1 species